rnacentral:rRNA from 1 species
UACGUAGGGAGCGAGCGUUGUCCGGAUUUAUUGGGCGUAAAGAGCGCGUAGGCGGCUCGGUAAGCCGGGCGUGAAAUCCCACGGCUCAACCGUGGAAGUGCACUCGAAACUGCAUAGCUAGAGUCCUGGAGAGGAAGGUGGAAUGCUUGGUGUAGAGGUGAAAUUCGUAGAUAUCAAGCGAACACCGGUGGCGAAGGCGGCCUUCUGGACAGUGACUGACGCUGAGA